rnacentral:rRNA from 1 species
GACAGAGGGUGCAACCGUUGUUCGGAAUUACUGGGCGUAAAGCGCAUGUAGGCGGCUCGGAAAGUCGGAUGUGAAAGCCCAGGGCUCAACCCUGGAAGUGCACUCGAAACUCCCGAGCUGGAGUCCCGGAGAGGAAGGCGGAAUUCUCGGUGUAGAGGUGAAAUUCGUAGAUAUCGAGAGGAACACCUGUGGCGAAGGCGGCCUUCUGGACGGUGACUGACGCUGAGAUGCGAAAGCGUGGGGAGCAAACAGG